rnacentral:rRNA from 1 species
AUUGAACGCUGGCGGCAUGCCUUACACAUGCAAGUCGAACGGUAACAGGUCUUCGGAUGCUGACGAGUGGCGAACGGGUGAGUAAUACAUCGGAACGUGCUCAGGCGUGGGGGAUAACGAGGCGAAAGCUUUGCUAAUACCGCAUACGAUCUAAGGAUGAAAGCAGGGGACCGCAAGGCCUUGCGCGUUUGGAGCGGCCGAUGGCAGAUUAGGUAGUUGGUGGGAUAAAAGCUUACCAAGCCGACGAUCUGUAGCUGGUCUGAGAGGACGACCAGCCACACUGGGACUGAGACACGGCCCAGACUCCUACGGGAGGCAGCAGUGGGGAAUUUUGGACAAUGGGCGAAGGCCUGAUCCAGCAAUGCCGCGUGCAGGAUGAAGGCCUUCGGGUUGUAAACUGCUUUUGUACGGAACGAAAAGGCUCUGGCUAAUACCUGGGGCACAUGACGGUACCGUAAGAAUAAGCACCGGCUAACUACGUGCCAGCCGCCGCGGUAACAC